GUAAUGAUUUCUUUUCCAGCAUGUUUUUCAGAUUAUUGAUUGAUCCCAAGAUCGUGUAAUAAUUUUUGUAGUUUCUCUUUUGCUUUGUGUCAGUAGCAAUUGCUACUUGUCACCAGCAUUGAGAAGGGAUCAAGAGGUUAGAGAAGCAGCACGUGGAUGUGAUAAGUGACCUGCAGGAAUACUAAUGAUAUAAUUGUGUGUGUGUGCAUGCGCGCAUACGUAUGCGUUGACUAAUCAACAUUCUAACAGGAAGCUAAAGAACUCACAAUAAAUCAUAUUAAACAGUUACAAGAUAUUAGACAGCUGCUUGAAUUUUUAUCCAAGACUUUUUUGAAUUAUAUUUUUUAAGUCUUUUUAACAAUUGAAGCUUUCUGCCUUUCUCAGUCACCCAAGUGUGUUCAAAUUCCUGGCUGGAGAUCUAAGAAGAGAGGAAGGAGCACAUUCAGAACUGGGGGUCACAGAAGAAACUUUAAGCCGAAAGGAGCCCUAGUGUGUGGAAUGGCACUUGCAGGAAGCAGCUGAAGAAAUUGUUUUUCCUGGAAAGUCAGCCAUAUGGUGCCACAGAGGUGGAAGGUAAGAAAGAAGUUAGCCAAACAAGAAUAUGACUUUUGUUUUAUGUAUGUAGCACUUUCACUUGCCUCAUGCGUAAAAGUCAUUCAGUUCAACAAAUAUUUAUUGAACCCUUACUAUGUGACACACAGUUCUAAGUACUAGAUGUUAUCAGUGAACAAAAC
rnacentral:lncRNA from 1 species